GAUGAACGCUGGCGGCGUGCCUAAUACAUGCAAGUAGAACGCUGAAGGAAGGAGCUUGCUCUUUCCGGAUGAGUUGCGAACGGGUGAGUAACGCGUAGGUAACCUGCCUGGUAGCGGGGGAUAACUAUUGGAAACGAUAGCUAAUACCGCAUAACAGUAGAUGUUGCAUGAUAUCUACUUAAAAGGUGCAAUUGCACCACUACCAGAUGGACCUGCGUUGUAUUAGCUAGUUGGUGAGGUAACGGCUCACCAAGGCGACGAUACAUAGCCGACCUGAGAGGGUGAUCGGCCACACUGGGACUGAGACACGGCCCAGACUCCUACGGGAGGCAGCAGUAGGGAAUCUUCGGCAAUGGACGGAAGUCUGACCGAGCAACGCCGCGUGAGUGAAGAAGGUUUUCGGAUCGUAAAGCUCUGUUGUAAGAGAAGAACGAGUGUGAGAGUGGAAAGUUCACACUGUGACGGUAUCUUACCAGAAAGGGACGGCUAGCUACGUG
rnacentral:rRNA from 1 species